GGUCUUGUAUCUCAGUUGCCCAGAGCGUUGGCUGUACUAAAGCCUUCCCCUAGCUGACGUGGGUUCGAAUCCCAUCAAGAUCG
rnacentral:tRNA from 1 species